AUGAACUUAAAUUUCUUCAGAAUUAGUAGCUGUGGGUUUAUAAUAACACAUCCACGUGACCACAUCUUUUUCCAGAUUUAGAUAUUCGAGAUAUUUUUUUUCUGAUCGCUAACCUAAUACAAGUAAUAGCAAUCUACAAUACCCAGUGGCAACCACACAAUUGAAAGAGAUAAACGCUUCACUGCUUCAGUGCAGAAUCCUUGCAGAUAUGAAUGACGUCCAGGGAAAAAAACAUCACCAUCACCAGCUAGCACUUGUUUCGACAUGUCAAAUUGGCUGGCUCCACCAGUAAAUCUGUCUCAAUCUUAAAUAUUGGCAAAGUGGAGGGAUGGCCGGAUGGAGGCGAACCAUGGCCAACCAAAUCCAAACAAAUUUGUCAAGAGAACAAGUAUAGGAUUGGACUACCAACCAACCAUCAGAUGAAAACACAAUGCUCAACAUAUUUUGACCAGUAAUAUAAAUUGUCUAGAAAGAAAAACAUGUUAGAAAAAAAAUUAUACAAAAUAGAUUGUGUCCAUUUGGUCCCUAAAAAUCUUAAAAUAUAAAUUCCAUGAUGAAUCAAAAUAUGCUUAUUCCGUGUCAUAAAUAUUGGUGCUUCUUGUAUAUAUAAAGCUGUCUAUCAGUCUUAUAAGAUUGGUUUGACAUAAGACAAAAGUCACAAAACUAACAUAAGUUUAUCAAUCUUUAUAACAUUUAAAAAUAUCGCAUAUAACUUGAGGAAUUAAGGCAUUGUAUGGAGAAAAGCGUCACUGCGUACCAAGGAUCGUACGGAUCCGUGAAGGGCAGACGCGGCAGAGACGCACACCGGCAGCCCGGCAACGGCAAUUCACCCACGAAACGGAUCGGAGAUGGUCCGCAUCAACGUCGAACGCACGACGGGAGAAGGCGGCUCGAUGAUCAGCGACGUAGUGCCUGAGCGACCUCCGGGCAAGUGCCUGGCGGUCAAGUCAGGCAGGAGCACGUCAG
rnacentral:lncRNA from 1 species